rnacentral:rRNA from 1 species
AAUGCUUGGGAACUUGCCUUUGCGAGGGGGAUAACAGUUGGAAACGACUGCUAAUACCGCAUAAUGUCUUCGGACCAAACGGGGCUUCGGCUCCGGCGCAAAGAGAGGCCCAAGUGAGAUUAGCUAGUUGGUAAGGUAAAGGCUUACCAAGGCGACGAUCUCUAGCUGUUCUGAGAGGAAGAUCAGCCACACUGGGACUGAGACACGGCCCAGACUCCUACGGGAGGCAGCAGUGGGGAAUAUUGCACAAUGGGGGAAACCCUGAUGCAGCCAUGCCGCGUGUGUGAAGAAGGCCUUCGGGUUGUAAAGCACUUUCAGUUGUGAGGAAAAGUUAGUAGUUAAUACCUGCUAGCCGUGACGUUAACAACAGAAGAAGCACCGGCUAACUCCGUGCCAGCAGCCGCGGUAAUACGGAGGGCGCGAGCGUUAAUCGGAAUUACUGGGCGUAAAGCGCACGCAGGCGGUUUGUUAAGCUAGAUGUGAAAGCCCCGGGCUCAACCUGGGAUGGUCAUUUAGAACUGGCAGACUAGAGUCUUGGAGAGGGGAGUGGAAUUCCAGGUGUAGCGGUGAAAUGCGUAGAUAUCUGGAGGAACAUCAGUGGCGAAGGCGACUCCCUGGCCAAAGACUGACGCUCAUGUGCGAAAGUGUGGGUAGCGAACAGGAUUAGAUACCCUGGUAGUCCACACCGUAAACGCUGUCUACUAGCUGUGUGUGUCUUUAAGACGUGCGUAGCGAAGCUAACGCGCUAAGUAGACCGCCUGGGGGAGUACGGCCCGCAAGGUUAAAAC